rnacentral:rRNA from 1 species
AAGGUCUAGCCUGCCCACUGAUUUAAAUGGCCGCAGUAUUUUAACUGUGCAAAGGUAGCAUAAUCAUUAGUCUUUUAAUUGAAGGCUUGUAUGAAUGGUUGGACGAAAUAUUAACUGUUUCAUAAAAAUUUAUUUAGAAUUUUAUUUUUUAGUUAAAAAGCUAAAAUUUUUUUAAAAGACGAGAAGACCCUAUAGAUCUUUAUAAAUUGUUAGUUAUAUUUAUAUAGAUUAUUUAAGAUAUGAUUAUAUAAAUUAUUUUGGUGGGGUGACAUUAAAAUUUAAUAAACUUUUAAUAAAUUUUUACAUUAAUUUAUGAUUAAUUGAUCCAUUAUUAAUGAUUAUAAAAUUAAGUUACCUUAGGGAUAACAGCGUAAUUUUUUUGAAGAGUUCAUAUCGAUAAAAAAGAUUGCGACCUCGAUGUUGGAUUAAGAUAUAAUUUUGGGUGCAGCAAUUCAAGUAUUAAGUC